rnacentral:rRNA from 1 species
CCGGUUGAUCCUGCCGGACCUGACUGCUAUCGGAUUGAUACUAAGCCAUGCGAGUCAUUGUAGCAAUACAAGGCAGACGGCUCAGUAACGCAUAGUCAACCUAACCUAUGGACGGGAAUAACCUCGGGAAACUGAGAAUAAUGCCCGAUAGAACACUAUGCCUGGAAUGGUUUGUGUUCCAAAUGAUUUAUCGCCGUAGGAUGGGACUGCGGCCUAUCAGUUUGUUGGUGAGGUAAUGGCCCACCAAGACUAUUACAGGUACGGGCUCUGAGAGGAGUAGCCCGGAGAUGGGUACUGAGACACGGACCCAGGCCCUAUGGGGCGCAGCAGGCGAGAAAACUUUGCAAUGUGCGAAAGCACGACAAGGUUAAUCCGAGUGGUUUGUGCUAAACAGACCUUUUGUUAGUCCUAGAAACACUAACGAAUAAGGGGUGGGCAAGUUCUGGUGUCAGCCGCCGCGGUAAAACCAGCACCUCAAGUGGUCAGGAUGAUUAUUGGGCCUAAAGCAUCCGUAGCCGGCUCUGUAAGUUUUCGGUUAAAUCUGUAUGCUCAACAUACAGGCUGCCGGGAAUACUGCAGAGCUAGGGAGUGGGAGAGGUAGACGGUACUCGGUAGGAUGGGGUAAAAUCCUUUGAUCUAUUGAUGACCACCUGUGGCGAAGGCGGUCUACCAGAACACGUCCGACGGUGAGGGAUGAAAGCUGGGGGAGCAAACCGGAUUAGAUACCCGGGUAGUCCCAGCUGUAAACUAUGCAAACUCAGUGAUGCAUUGGCUUGUGGCCAAUGCAGUGCUGCAGGGAAGCCGUUAAGUUUGCCGCCUGGGAAGUACGUACGCAAGUAUGAAACUUAAAGGAAUUGGCGGGGGAGCACCACAAGGGGUGAAGCCUGCGGUUCAAUUGGAUUCAACGCCGGAAAUC